rnacentral:rRNA from 1 species
AUUGAACGCUGGCGGCAUGCCUAACACAUGCAAGUCGAACGGGGUAGCAAUACCCAGUGGCGGACGGGUGAGGAAUACAUAGGAAUUUGCCUUUAGGUGGGGGAGUAGCCCGGGGAAACGUACGGAGUAAUACCGCAUGAUGUCGAAAGACCAAAGUAAGGGGAGUCGCAAGACCUUGCGCCUUUAGAGAAGCCUAUGUCUGAUUAGCUAGUUGGUAGGGUAAUGGCCUACCAAGGCGACGAUCAGUAACUAGGUCUGAGAGGACGAUCAGUCACACCGGAACUGAGACACGGUCCGGAC